UUCGUAGAUUUCUGAUGAGAAGAGUGAAAAACUGAUAUUGCUGUUCCUUAGGGGGCAGUGAUUGAAGUGUGAGAGGGAGUCGUGCGGAGACCAAGGGGGAAGAAGUUGGGUGGUGAAGUAUUUGAAGUGUAGGAGGGUCGUGCGAAGACCAAGGGGGAUGAAGUUGGGUGGUGAAGUAUUUCAAGUGGUGUAGUAUUUGAAGUGUAGGAGAGUCGUGCGAAGACCAAGGGGGAUGAAGUUGGGUGGUGAAGUAUUUGAAGUGGUGUAGUAUUUGAAGUGUAGGAUAGUCGUGCGAAGACCAAGACGGAUGGGGUGGUGAAGUAUUUGUAGUGAGGGAGAGUCGUGCGAAGGCCAAGAGGGAUAGAGGGUCGAGAAAUUUUGUGAAGAAAUUUUGUAGAGAAACUUUGUAGAAAUUUUGUGUUCAUUACUUUCGUGUUCAUUGCUUUCGUGUUCAUUGCUUUCGUGCUCAUUACUUUUGUGUACAAAUUUUGUGUGCUGUGUGUUUGUGCCUGUGUGUUUGUGCCUGUGCGUAGUGUGGUUUUGUGUUUUGUAUGGUCGAGGGUCGUGCCUCGCCCAAAUACAUUCGUAUGGCUUUCAUUUUGCCCUCUAUAUGAUUUCUCUGGUCCCUAAAACACCCCUCUAGUUGAUUCGGGAAGCAAAUUGUCGGGAGCGAUUUUUGAAUAGGUUCCCAAAGUUUUGCAUUCUUGAGUAAGCGCGAGAAAAAGAUAGAAACAGGAGGAAAAAGCGGGAGAGAAAAAUAUAAUAAAGUAGAAUGAUAUAUAAUAAAGCAGAAUGAUAUAUAAUAAAACAGCUAUAAAAUAUAAUAAAACAGCUAUAAUUAGUUCAAUACAACCCCUUUUUGUUUGGAUCUUUUGGCGCGCGCGGGCAGGAAAUUUUCCAGGAUUUUACGCAACUUUCUUUAGGAGUUUCAAAAAAGAUUAUUUUCGCAGCAGGCAAUCUGCGCGGUUGCAGCAUUUUGCACCCGGAGGUACUAUAUGAGAGAGAAAUCUCUAAGGAAUAGUGCGUAUGAAAUUCAUACGUCCAUUCCGAUGAAGUGAAUUUAUAUCAACUUUUAGUUUUUAUACCUCCUUUUGGAGGUAUAUUUUUUAGUUGUAUGAACUUUACUUCUUGGCCCCCCGAUUUAUCGCUCAAGUCUCGGGCUGACAACGUCUCCCCGAGCAAGGUGAAACAGUGGAUUACUAGGCAAUGCCAAAUCUACAAACUCACAGAUCUUUAGAUCUUUUUCGCUACGAGUCAGUGGACAUUCCAGUCUUAAUAACUUCUUAUUAGUUAUCUGGUUG
rnacentral:misc_RNA from 1 species